GGUAGUUUGGCCGAGCGGUCUAAGGCGCUGGAUUUAGGCUCCAGUCUCUUCGGAGGCGUGGGUUCAAAUCCAACCACUGCCA
rnacentral:tRNA from 1 species